GAUGAACGCUGGCGGCGUGCCUAAUACAUGCAAGUAGAACGCUGAAGCUUGGUGCUUGCACCGAGCGGAUGAGUUGCGAACGGGUGAGUAACGCGUAGGUAACCUGCCUCUUAGCGGGGGAUAACUAUUGGAAACGAUAGCUAAUACCGCAUAAAAGACGAUAUCGCAUGAUAUUGAUUUGAAAGGUGCAAUUGCAUCACUAAGAGAUGGACCUGCGUUGUAUUAGCUAGUUGGUGAGGUAACGGCUCACCAAGGCAACGAUACAUAGCCGACCCGAGAGGGUGAUCGGCCACACUGGGACUGAGACACGGCCCAGACUCCUACGGGAGGCAGCAGUAGGGAAUCUUCGGCAAUGGGGGCAACCCUGACCGAGCAACGCCGCGUGAGUGAAGAAGGUUUUCGGAUCGUAAAGCUCUGUUGUAAGAGAAGAACGAGUGUGAGAGUGGAAAGUUCACACUGUGACGGUAACUUACCAGAAAGGGACGGCUAACUACGUGCCAGCAGCCGCGGUAAUACGUAGGUCCCGAGCGUUAUCCGGAUUUAUUGGGCGUAAAGCGAGCGCAGGCGGUUAGAUAAGUCUGAAGUUAAAGGCUGUGGCUUAACCAUAGUACGCUUUGGAAACUGUUUAACUUGAGUGCAGAAGGGGAGAGUGGAAUUCCAUGUGUAGCGGUGAAAUGCGUAGAUAUAUGGAGGAACACCGGUGGCGAAAGCGGCUCUCUGGUCUGUAACUGACGCUGAGGCUCGAAAGCGUGGGGAGCAAACAGG
rnacentral:rRNA from 1 species